GGCUCGUAGGAGGCGUGCUUACACAUGCAAGUCGAACCGAUGAACCCGCUGUUCGGGCGGGGAUUAGUCGGCGAACGGGUGAGUAACACGUGGGCAAUCUGCCCUGCACUCUGGGACAAGCCCUGGAAACGGGGUCUAAUACCGGAUAUGACUGUCCGCCGCAUGGUGGAUGGUGUAAAGCUCCGGCGGUGCAGGAUGAGCCCGCGGCCUAUCAGCUUGUUGGUGAGGUAGUGGCUCACCAAGGCGACGACGGGUAGCCGGCCUGAGAGGGCGACCGGCCACACUGGGACUGAGACACGGCCCAGACUCCUACGGGAGGCAGCAGUGGGGAAUAUUGCACAAUGGGCGAAAGCCUGAUGCAGCGACGCCGCGUGAGGGAUGACGGCCUUCGGGUUGUAAACCUCUUUCAGCAGGGAAGAAGCGAGAGUGACGGUACCUGCAGAAGAAGCGCCGGCUAACUACGUGCCAGCAGCCGCGGUAAUACGUAGGGCGCAAGCGUUGUCCGGAAUUAUUGGGCGUAAAGAGCUCGUAGGCGGCUUGUCACGUCGGUUGUGAAAGCCCGGGGCUUAACCCCGGGUCUGCAGUCGAUACGGGCAGGCUAGAGUUCGGUAGGGGAGAUCGGAAUUCCUGGUGUAGCGGUGAAAUGCGCAGAUAUCAGGAGGAACACCGGUGGCGAAAGCGGGAUCUCUGGGCC
rnacentral:rRNA from 1 species